CAGUAGCUCAGUGGUAGAGCAAUCGGCUGUUAACCGAUCGGUCGUAGGUUCGAAUCCUACCUG
rnacentral:tRNA from 6 species